rnacentral:ncRNA from 3 species
UACGGAGGGUGCAAGCGUUAUCCGGAAUCACUGGGUUUAAAGGGUGCGUAGGCGGUUUGAUAAGUCAGAGGUGAAAGCUAGCAGCUUAACUGUUAAAUUGCCUUUGAUACUGUCAGACUUGAAUCAAGUUGAGGUAGGCGGAAUGUGACAUGUAGCGGUGAAAUGCAUAGAUAUGUCAUAGAACACCAAUUGCGUAGGCAGCUUGCUGGGCUUGAAUUGACGCUGAGGCACGAAAGCGUGGGGAUCAAACAGG